AUUUCUACUGCAGGACUUUCUCAUAUCUGAUAUGUGUGAUCUUGGUGUGAUGUGGAACAGAACCUAACAAUUUUUGGGGGAGCUCUUUUGUUUUGAUAAAUGCUGAAUUCCAGUGCAUAACAACAAUCCCACUUAAAACAACCUUCAUGGUGCAGUUAGACAGCCAUUUACCCCUGCUGGGGAGGUGUUUCUGGCCAGAAACUAGCCACACAUCAGGCCAUCUUGCAAGAGGUCCCCAAGUCCCGGCUAAAGAAUAAAGGUGACCAGGCAGCUCUCUGUCUCGGACCCUUCCAUGUAUGCAAAUGGAAAGGUAGGGAAGUGCUCCCCGGAGGUGCCUUAUGGCUUUCCACGUGACAAGUGAUGUCAAAUUUAAAAGUGCAGCAGUCCUAAAGGCACUUUGGAGCUACCAUGGCGAGGAUGUUGGACAUCUCAUCGGGAGUAUAAGGACAUUGAAGGAGAUGACAUCCAGAGAGACCUGCAGAAAUCCACCAUGGGCAUAUAUGUCAUCAACUAGGAGCGUGGAGAAAUUGGAGCUCACGAUGAUAUUGGCAUUAACGUUGAAGGAGUAAUCCUUCUGGGCAACAUUGGAUCUGUAGCCCAAGCAUGUGCAAUGAUGCUGGGAGUCAUCUAUGUACUGAACAUGGCUUACCCCAAAGAGCUGAACUACUCCUAUGAAUUCAUUCAGAAAGUGCUCUUGCAAAUGGAUGGUGAAAGGCUUUCCCCCAAAGUCCUUGGACUAAAGAACAAAAUCAUUGCUGGACUGUAGGCUUUCUUCCACCACUCUUAAACCUUGCUAAACUGCAUUGUUAUUUCUGGUUUGGGAG